UAAUAAUAAAAAUAAAAAUAAUAGGACAAAAAUAAACAACGGGACGGCCACGAACAACGACAAAUAUUUAUUAAUUGUAUUAAUUAUAUUUUUGGAAAUUCAAUUUAUAAUAAUUUAAAUUUUUAUUAUUUUUAUUAUAUUAAGUAAAAAAUUGGGACGCGGCGGCGGAAAAUUGGGGGUAAUAAAAACCUAAACGGUAACGGCGAGCCGCGCAACGGAAUUUUGUUAGGAACGACGGCGCGCGUUUUGGCGAAAUAUAAUAAAAACGGAGGGAAAAGAAAAUUCCGGGCAGGCGUUUAGACGACGAAAAUAAAGGAUAUAAAGAAGUUACGGCGCAAUUGUUCGAAACGGUUAUAAAAGCCAAAACGGGGUCGAAAAAUGGGGGUAAAAAUACCGCAAAAAAGGACGUACGUAAAUUAAACGGGGCGGUAAAAAAAUAAGCAAAUACCGUAUUAAACGGGGUUCGGAACGCGUAUAAAUAACGGUAAUAAAAACAAAAAUAACGACGUUAAUAUCGCGUUGGACUUUUAACUAUUAUUAAUAACGUUCGUUAUUGCGUUUUUAAUUAAAUUAAUUAACGCCCACCAAAUUACGGGUCGGAAAAGAAUAAAUAUUUAUUUCCAUAUAUUUUAAAUUUUGGACAAAAUCGAUGAUAAAUUAUUAAGCAGUUUUAUUACCGCCGUUAGAAUAUAUUAAAAAUAAAACGUUAAAGCCGUGAAAAAUUAAAAAUCGCGUUAAAACCUCCUUAUUCCGAAACCUAUUAUAUUUACGUAUAUAUACGAUAUAAGUAAAAUUUAAUUCGGCGGUUAUUUUGGUAUUAUAUUUAAUUUUAAUAAUUUUAUUAUUAACGUAACGUAUCGUUAAUAUUUUGGGGAAAAUAAUAUAACGGUCGUUAAGUAUAAUAUGUUAUAAAUCGUAUAAUCGACGACGUAAAAAGAUUUCCGGGUAUAUAAUUUUUGGUCGUAAUUGCAAAACGAUUCUUUAUAUAUAUUAUACCGAUUACAAACCGUUUCGGCGAAAUGGGGGCGAUAAGCCAAAAUAUUAAUAAUUUUGGAAAAUUUAAUGUAAAAGAAAUAAACCGGAAUAUAUUAUCUAAACGCGGCGUUAUUUUCGUCGUCGAAAUUAUUUUCGAAUUCGUGCGAACCGGUAACGCGACGGAUGCGUUAUAAUUACGGCUAAUAAAAUGAUAAAUCCAGGGCGGCGCCAAAUUAAUUUAUUAUGGAGGUUUCAAAAUUUUUAAUAAAAAUAAUAACGGUAUUGUAAAAGGUAAUAGGGUUAUUUUGGCUAAAAUUAAAUAACGACGGGAAUAAAAACAAAUAUUCCGACCGGGUAAUUGAAACUCGGGUUAAAAAUAAAUAAUAAUAUAAUAAUAACGGAAAAAGAAACGUAAUCGGGGUACGGAUAAAUUAAUUAAAUAAGUAAAAAUACGGCGAAAAUGCGAUUAAAGAGAUAAUUACGUUAACGAAAAAGAAAUUAUAAAAAAGGAAAAAGCAAUUU
rnacentral:sRNA from 1 species